CCUACGGGNGGCNGCAGUUAGGAAUUUUGCGCAAUGGACGAAAGUCUGACGCAGCGACAUCGCGUGAAGGAUGAAGGCCCUCGGGUCGUAAACUUCUUUUGUUUGGGCAAGAAGCCCUUACGAAUAAGGAACUACUAACUACGUGCCAGNAGNNNCGGUNA
rnacentral:rRNA from 1 species